rnacentral:lncRNA from 1 species
CUUGUAAAAAAUAUCAAAAUCACUUCAAUUUAAUUAUUCUACUUGAAAUAAAUAAUCAAAAUACUAUUGUUUAACUGUUACGUUACUGCAAUACACAAAAAAUGCAAAAUUAAUAUCACAUUUUCUAAUUCUACUAACGCACAUAGAAGGUGCAAAAGUAGGCAUAUUCAUAUAUUUCCCAUAACCAUAUAAUCAAACUUCCAGUAAAUAGAGUUUAAGUAUCAACUAAAACUAAUGUUCCACCAUAAGUCGUCCAAGAUGUAUCUGUUAAAGAUGAAAAACCGAUGGAAUUAUUUUAUAAAUUAUAAAAAUAUAGGGAUAAUUUAUAAAACU